UACGAAGGGGGCUAGCGUUGCUCGGAAUUACUGGGCGUAAAGGGCGCGUAGGCGGAUAGUUUAGUCAGAGGUGAAAGCCCAGGGCUCAACCUUGGAACUGCCUUUGAUACUGGCUAUCUUGAGUAUGGGAGAGGUGUGUGGAACUCCGAGUGUAGAGGUGAAAUUCGUAGAUAUUGGGAAGAACACCGGUGGCGAAGGCGGCUCACUGGCCCGUUACUGACGCUCAGGCGCGACAGCGUGGGGAUCAAACAGG
rnacentral:rRNA from 1 species